GCACUGCAGUGGUGCUCUUCAUCUGAGCAAGCCUCAUGGCGAAUGCAGUUUUGGCAACUUGGGUCAGCUAAGCAAACUCUGUGUUGUUAAAAAUUAAUUUUAACGCAAGGGCGAGGGGAGUCAUCAGCCGUCCUGGAAAAAAGAAGCGAGGCUCAUACUUAACAAAUGUAGUACGUAGUAGAAUUUUUGAUCAUACAUACUUUUUUCUAUGGCUGACUCUGGGCACCUCUCAAAUAGUUUGACACAGCAACAGUUCGCGUAAGUGAAAUGUCUGAAGCUUUGUGAUUAUGUACUUAAAAGGCACAGUAUUACCAGUAUUGCUUAUCUUGUUAAAGUACCCAGAGCAAUAGAAGCUUGGUUGCCUGCUGUUGGCAUGACAUGUGACAAAAGCAUGUUACAUUGCAAUCUUUCACGUAGCACUGCCUUGUUCGUGCAAAAGGCAAUGUUUAGAAACAGUGCAAGUGUGAGUGCGGAAGAGUUUACACAAAUUUAAAAUAAGCAUGGUUUAAUGCAAUUUUGCAAUAAUGACGCUCACCGUAUAUAUGUGCAGUUGGCUUUGAAGCUUUGUGUCAUCAGACAAGUCAAAAGCGUCAACUGCAUCUUUCAUUAUUAGACAUUUUAUUUUCAGCACUUCAAAUUACAGCGGAGUGCUAGGUAUUGUUAUUGAAGAAGUAGUACUGAGAAUAUAUAAUCAUCAUGCAAUACCUUAAAUAUAACUUACCCGUUAUUGUAAUUUUUAUGCUGCAAUUUUUAUUUCGCAGCUUUCUCAGCUUCAUUGCAUCAGUUUGUGAAACUACACUUAUGAAAGCAGUUUUUUCACCUGACUUGCAAACAGCAGAAGGUAAUUCAACACAAGGUGUACUGAACACUAACCAGUGAGGUGCAAGUCUCCCCAUAGCAAACCUUAUUACAUCUAAACUGCUAAUGAACCAGCAAACAAGCAUCAACAAACUUAAGAUAGCCUACGACCUUGAUAAAAACUUGAUCAUCUUUUGUACAAUAAUUGUAGCUGAAUUGGAAUGUACAAUUUUUUUUUUUUUUUGAAAGCUAGGAAAUGUAAGUUCACCAACCUGAUCAUGUUCACUUACCGUCGAACAUAAGCACCUCUUGGAAAUUAAUUCCAAGAUAAGGUUCUCCACGUCAUGUACUUGAUGCCUUCCUGCAGAGGGCAUGUGUACUGCACGUAUUACAGGGCAGUUCUUUUGUACCAAAUAUGUAACACCUUUUUUUCCGGUGUAUAAAUACACAUUUUGUGUGUCACUAGCUGGUCUGCAAUUAAAUUUCAGCAGGCAUGCUAGUAGAUUUUGACUCAGGGUUGCACUGCACGCAUAUGACAAAUGCUCACGAACAAAAAGGAAGCCUUGCAGUUCAUUUCGAUUUUGCUGUUUGGCAUUGCUGGAUGGUAUAACUAUGAGGCAAGUUUUAUUACUAUUAAGCUCCUGUACGCUAUGGAUGACCAUGUAGAUUAGGAGGACUAGGACCAUUGAUAAUGCAAAAGGUUGUAGUGAGCCAGACAUUGUGAGAAGUGCAGAAAGUUGAAGGAAUGUGUUGCAAGCUUAGAGCACUCCCUGUGCAUUAGCAGAUGUAUGUGUCAUAACUAUGGUACAAAGGUAGAAAACUCUUGGAUGGCCAUAGGUAGGGGGCCUCCUUGCUGCAACUGGUGGGUGACUGACCUUGAGUACUAAAGCAAUUUUCAUUUAUGGGACUUUUCAGUUGCUACGCUAGGCUAAAUGCCUUGAAAUCAGUGCCUUUAUCUGGCAGCGCCGUUUUUGUCUUAUCAGAAUGCUACAGACAUGGAAGGAAAGGAAAUGGAACAAAGUGGUGCAGUAAAUCCUCACAGUUUUGCAUCGACGAUUCACGAAGGAGAACAAAGGUUGUCUCUUGUGGCCUGCGCUCGCAUGAAGGUGUUUGCGUUAGAGUAGCCUUUUUCUAAAAAAAAUUUUGCUGAUGGCAUCUGACAGCUUCUAAAAGCACUCUUCUUCUUUCUUUCACUUUUUUUUUUUCCAGGUUUAUUGUGCUAUGGGCUGGUGAGAGGACGAUUGUAUGCUAAAUAUCUCACUAAAUUUCAGAUCUGCUUGUUCGAUGUACUACAAAUAUUGCUAAAACAAAAUUAGUCAAAUGGAACAAGACACUGUCAUGUGUUUUGUGAUGCAAGUACUUUCAAAAUUGUAAUAUUCUAUUAUGAGGGUGCACAGCUUUAAGCACUCUUAUUCUCACUCGUCAGACAGUGUAGUGCACCAUAUUAUACUAUCUAGUUCACUAUAGCCAUAUCAAGCAUCUCUCGCAGCUUGCUACACUUCUUUUUUAACAUAGUUACUUUAGAGAUAUUGUUCUGCAAUAGCUCACAUGUUGCCAGAAUUUUGUUCAUUACUCUAUAUACGUGCAGAAUUUAAGUUCGUCUUUCAUUGAUCCUAAAUGAAACUUCACUUUAGCAUGUUUAAUCAUUCUACAUGAGACCGCAUGCAAAAGUUGUCUUACAGGUGUUAGCUCACCGGACAACACUCUUGUCACUGGCCUGUUUGAAUGUUACCUCCUGUUAUUGUCAUCCUUUGAGAAAGAAUAUCCACAUUUCACUGUUAUUUAGCAAACUGUGGUCAUUAACCUUUCCUGGUACACUGGUAAGGACCCUUACAGUCAUUACCAGAAAUACAGUGUUCCACUUUUCUCUCACAUUUUCUCUACACUCUCCCAGGAUAUAUAGCUUCUGACUGUCACAUCAAGCGUGACACAUGUCACACACAAGCACAUUAUGCAGCAGCAACAGUAGCACCACUCGCGUGAGUGUGCAGGAGUGCACGCUGUUUAUCGCCGGUGUGAACGUAUACUUGUCUUGUGAACACUUUGUGCAUCUACAUGGGGUCUCCAGUUGCAUUUUUCAUUAUGUACCCAUCUUCAUAUGGUCAAAUGUCCUGUAGCAGACUUAGUUGUUCAAUGAAUAAUGUGUACUUCCACACGUUGCUGAUGUGAUAUAAGCAUUGUGUUGACAGGUGGUCAAAGAAAUUAAGAGUGAGGCGCCUUGUGUAUGGUUAAAGUUCUUUUGGGGUGAGACGAUGCAUCUGGGCAGCUUGAUAUGUGUGACCAUCUAGUGGUAGCAGCAGUGAGCAUGCACUAUCUGUACUUCAUUUUAAAAUCAACUUGUACAUAGUACUUUGCUAAUUAUGACGCUUCUUGACUCUGAAUUUAAAGGAGCUAUAGGAAAAUGCUGUCAGCAUACACA
rnacentral:lncRNA from 1 species